GAUUUUUUUUUACCAAAUUUCGUUCGCACCUAAGUUUUUUUGGUAUUGGAUAUUUUUUCUACAGAUCACUAUUUGUAACGUAGUGAAGGAACUUGAAAGAGUUCUGAAAAGAUUGAAACAUUCGUUUAUAUACGGACGUUUUGGGAACAUCAUCUUGUCUAGCGACAAUGAACAGUAUUUUUUUUUAAUAUCGUACAAAAUGAUACGAUGGGCCUCAGAGUUUAUAUUUUUUAGAACAAGCAGAGUAUAUUGACCUACGAACUAACGUGAAAUUAAAAUAUCGACAUCCUGCAUUAUAAGUUAUUCGGUUCUGUUUUGACGCCUUCAAAAAUUAGUAACUCAUAAAUCGUACACCAUAGAAUUAAAACUUUUAUACGACUUUGCUGUGACGUAUUCUCAGCCAUCCGUAAAGUAUAUAGUAGCCUGAAAAAAAUACUUCAUGAUGGAAGAAAGGAGAACUGUAGAAAAAAUUAACCACAGGUUAAUGAAAAUGCUCUAGAAUCACUUUUGUUUUUUUAAAUUUACAAAUUAUUUAGGAUGAACUUUAUUUAUUACCUUGAGUUGGUCUAAAAACUAACUACAAGUUAUAUAUCUUUGUAUGAAAAUUAUCGUUCUCUUCUAUGCUAUAUGUAUGAAAUCUUUGGAAAAGGAUACUAUAACCAUAGAUAACAGACAUCCAAGCUAAUAUUGCUUCAUGUGUAAAAAGACGCAACGGUUUUAUAGCAUGUCGCAAUACGCAGUAUGGUGGCGCUAAGAACACUUAUAACGAAUUUCUUUAUUCAACUGCGCCAGGGCAAAUCUGCCGAGCAAUAAAAAAACGGCAUCACCAUUUACGACGCAAGUAAAAAAGAGAUGCCAGAUAAAUGUUUACGAACUAAGCACGUGCUGUGGUGGGUUGAAGUUGACAAUUUUUACAGUGCGCUUCGGGCAGCACGCCAGGUCAAAACUGGGUCAAAAUCGAGCGAAUAAAGAAGGGUCAAAAUGAGGUGAGUUGAUGGAAUAAAGAAAUUCGCUAUUAGUGGUCAAUGGUUCUAUAUAAUCGAUCGUUUUCCAGCUCUAAUCGAUAUUAUUGCAAUGCAAAGGGUUGCCGUUUUUUAAUGUAGAAAUUUUGAGCAGUCGUAAUUUCUACAUAAUCGACAAUUUUAUUCAAUCUUAGUCUAUAUUUGCGAUAAAUUUGUUUGUUUUAGUGUUGAUAUGAAAAAAAAAACACAAACCUCACAAAAACAGUGUUAUAUCGUUGCAAAAACAGCGACUCCAUAAUUGGUGAGAAUUUUCAUGCACAUGUUACACAGAGCGAUCAGAUCUUGUUAUGUUCUUACCCAUGAAUAUGAUUUUUUUUUGUCAGAAAAAGAAAGAAAAUGACAAUGUAUGCCUCCUACUCUCGCUCAAGUCAACCGCGGCCGAAGUAGUCCCUUUCCCUCUCACCGCACCACACCUCUGCUGCUGCUCAGGCGACAUGGAAUUCUUCUGCUGCUAUUCUUUGUUCCCCUAACGACCGGCAUAUGGAGAGACAAACGCAACGAGCGAAUCGCUUCUCAGAGCAGAUGUAGUCUAGUCAUGUGUUUAUUUUCUUCCAGAAACCUACGCACCAUAUCAUCAUUUCAUUAUGUGUUGAGAGGAUUCAAGUUUAGUCGCAGUCUGUACACUUCAUGAUGUGUACAUGUGGAGAUUAAACGAUGAUUGCAUCAUAUUCGUUUCGUUUCCAUUACUGAAUGAUACAGAUUUGGAAAAAUAUACCGCAUCCCGACGUAAAAGCCGUUGUUAAAAAUAGAAAUUCAACUUCUGAUUAUGUAAAUUUUUUUCCCCUUGUAGGAGACUAACCCACUGUGAUCAUUGAUCAAUAUGACUGGGUUCUGUGUGUCCCUAACCGAAAAUACGCAAUCUGCGUUGUAAUUAUGCUCGACAUUCGUUGAGUAGGUGUUAUGAUGUUUCACUUCCGAUGCCACAAAGGCGACAUUUAUCAUCAUCAAGUUUGCCUAGCUUCUUGAGAUGAUACUUACUCGGACAAAGCCCUGUAAUUAGACCUGUGAAUGUUCUCAGGUCUUUCUUAUUGAACCUGAGAUGCACGAGGCUCUUCUCUCGAUUUGGCUCUAUGAAUCUUUUCGAUUGUCGUAAUCCGCUCAUGACACCUCAGUUUACUUUGAUGGUCGCUUUCUCCCAUUCACCGAGUUUAGCUUUUAGAGCGCUUGGGGGGACUCCACAGAAAGGUUCUGGGCCAACAAAUUUAGUGGCUAGUAAGUUAGCCUUCUAAUUUCCUUCGAUGCCACAGUAACCAGGAACCCAGUAUAAGUUAACCUGGUUCUCCAUAGCCAGCUGUCGAAGCGACAGGAGGAAUGCAUCUCUAGUUUAGAUUAGCAAAAAGAAUAAUUAAGCCAAUGCUACCUGACUAUCGCAGAAAAUGCAGAUUUUUUCGUGUCGAUAGUUCCUUUUGGCAUAUUGUUGGCCAAUGUUAAAUGAGAAAAUAUGUAUUGAUUCCUAGCCUCGUGAAUCCCUCACCCGCGGAAUCAUUUAUUCGAGAACCAUCUAUGUGGAUCCACCUUGUUGCCAACUUUUUCGUUCUAGCUCUAAUAUUCUGUAGGAAGUUUUGAAGUUUGGUACCAUUUCCACCCAAUCAUCAUUGCUUUAUUUGGAAAUCUUUCAGUAUUCUCAGGUAUCCUAUAAGAUCCUUUUCUUUUAGAUUAGACUGUCGAUCAAGCCUUAGAUCACUUUUUUCUGCUUCUAAUAAAGUGAAGUGCUUCUCAUUGCUCCACAAAUGGAUUCACAUGCCAAUCUUUGAAUUUUGCCUAGCUUAGCUUGAGUGGAUGUUUCAUUGGUUUCUGGUCUAGUGAGAUUCCCAAAUGUUUGGCUUCAGUGGAAAGCUUUGUAUAACGUUUGCGGUAAAAAAGGACUUUUUUGGGAUGGUGGUAAAAAAUAAUUAAGACAGAUGAUAAAAUUUGAUAAAUUUCCCAUGGAAGUUAGCUUACUUGCAAAAAAAUUCUUUAGCCUUUGCGAGCAGCCUUCCGGCAGUUAAGCGGUACAUUCGCCAUGGCGGACAAAAACAUGCGUGUAGGCAUGUUUUUGAGUUUUUUCGCUCUAGGUUUACCCAGAAAUCCUCGAUGGGAUGCAACUUGGGGUACCACAUCGAUAUUCAGCCGCUCCAUCUCCUCCAACGAUCGCUUCUAGUAAUGGGCCGACGCCAAAACCGGCCAAAAUGAUGAACUACACAACUUCCGGCAGGUACUUCGUACUAUAAAUUUCCCCGUUCGUAGCCAGUCCGCAGCGAAAGAAGAGCGGCUUUGACAUCCUCUUUUCGCUGAUUGUCAGCCACAGCAGCACCUCCUUGGGGAACUUUUUGUGUGAAAUGAACAAUCGUUGUCAUCCAGGGUGAGACAAGUCUCGUCGUCUAUCAUCACCGCCACGUCGCGAUUUGCCGGUAAAAUCAACUGCAGCUCCAAGACCAGUGGACGGGUCUGCCGCUCCCUGACAUGUAUGUCCAUGUUCGCCAGGUGCUUUUUCGCUAUUUGGCCGGUUGCACCGUCCUCCCGGCAAAGCGCAUGCAGCGAUGUAGUCACUUUUCGGCACUCAAGGUCGUCGGCCGUCCAGAACCGGACUUCACUUCGAUGCUCUGAUUGUUAUCCAAUAGUGCCAAGAUGAUGUAGAUGCCGGAACGGGCGUAUCCGGUACCCACGAACUGCCGCAUGAUAUCCGUUUUCGACGCGACGGGGCACCGUUCUUUGAAUGCUUCACUGUUUUCGCCAUCACGGUUAGAGUUCGACGGUUAGAGCUGCUAUUUUUUUUUCUGCUGACUCAUGGGUUGCUAUGACUGAUGCUGCGUGGAUAGUUUCAUGAUGAAAUCAGUGUGUGUGAAGGUAAACUUAUGGAAAAUCGAUAAUUUUUGUCCAUUUUUUUGGUAUGAAAAUAACUCUAAUUUGUCUGUAAAGCUCGCCUUACACGUUUCCGUAAUGAUUGGAAUAAACAGUACCUUGUUCUUCUAGAGCAGCGGUUCUCAACCUGGGGUACGCGUGCCUCUGAGACUACGACAAGCUUGUUUGACAUUUCGAAUAUUUUUAAAAUUUUGUGCAAAUGAGAUGUUGAAGUCUGACCGAAUUCCGAUACGCAUAUAUAAAUUCGACAUCAGUGAAUACGAAUGGAACAAAUAUUAUGCGACGCAAACAAGUUUUAACAGGCAUGCAAAUUACGAUAACAUUUCACUAUUUUUCUAGCGCGAAACGAGUGAAUAUUGAAUCUUCAAUCAUGUGUUUGUUCUGUUCUUUAAUGGACAACUUGUCGUUUAAUUCAAAAUCAGGUACAGUAUCAGAUGGAGUAGAAGCAGGCUCCUAUGUAGCCGAAGUCGAUGUUGUGAGAGACCAGGCCAGAUUCAUAAUUAGCUCCUCCUUUUCAUCAGGUUUUGUCUUCUCCCAGUUUUGGUCAACGCAAGAUUCAAUGAAUGUUGGCAACCAGGAGAAAGAGUGUUGAGCUCUAACACACUUAUAGCGAAUUUCUUUAUUCCACUGUGUCAGGCGAAACUGCCGAGGAAUAAUGAACCGUCAUCGUCAUUUAAGACGCAAGUAAGAAAGAGAUGCCAGAUAAUUGUUUACGAUCUUAGCAGGUGCGGUGGUGGGUUGAAGCUGACAAAUUUUACAGUGCGCUUCGGGCAGCACGGCAGGUCUAAACUGGGUCCAAAUCGAGCGAAUAAAGAAGGGUUUUGACAGCAGUUAGUGCGCUUCCAGGUCAAAACGAGGAAUGACAACCGUUUUCUGCGUUGCGGAUCUUGUCGGAUGAAGGUAACAUAGGUAGCAGAAGAUUCAGCGCACUCACAAUAAGGCAACAUUUGAUUCAGUCGAGUUUAUAACCGUCCUUAUUGAGACGUUCCAGCAUUUUCAAGGAAGUGUAAUAAAUAUUUUGUAAAUUUUGUGCAAAUGAUCGCUAAAGAAUUUUAUUUGCACAUGUGAAUACGUCAUCAUUGAAUAAGAAUGGAACACUAUGCGGCAAAGUUUUAACAAUGGGCAAUUUCACAAAAAACGAGCAACCAAUUUAAUCCACCAUUUUUGAUUUGGCUGAAAUUUUGCAUAGUCGUUUCAAUGGGCAAAAGAUACCAUUUUGUGCUAUUAGUUUAAUGUUUUUUGUAACACGAGAAUAUUGGGAAUGUAUUGAUGAUAUCAUACAUUUUUAGAGCCAAAACAGUUUGUUUAUUCGUGUGACGUUUCCGGUAAAGUUGUAGAUAAUAAUUUCCUUCCGAAAAAAAAACUAUAAAAAUAUUUUUUAAGUUAAAAUAAAGUGCUUCAAUCAACCAACAAAGCUUGACAAUUUCUUAUAGUACUGCUUUUUGAUGGACGCGUAGAAGAUUAGAAGAUUUUCCAUUCGAUUGCAGAAAGAA